AACGCCGCGUGAGCGAAGAAGGCCUUCGGGUCGUAAAGCUCUGUGUUAGGAAGAACAAGUAUCGGAGUAACUGCCGGUACCUUGACGGUACCUAACCAGAAAGCCACGGCUAACUACGUGCCAGCAGCCGCGGUAAUACGUAGGUGGCAAGCGUUGUCCGGAAUUAUUGGGCGUAAAGCGCGCGCAGGCGGUCCUUUAAGUCUGAUGUGAAAGCCCACGGCUCAACCGUGGAGGGUCAUUGGAAACUGGGGGACUUGAGUGUAGAAGAGGAGAGUGGAAUUCCACGUGUAGCGGUGAAAUGCGUAGAGAUGUGGAGGAACACCAGUGGCGAAGGCGACUCUCUGGUCUGUAACUGACGCUGAGGCGCUAAAGCGUGGGGAGCAAACAGGAUUAGAUACCCUGGUAGUCCACGCCGUAAACGAUGAGUGCUAAGUGUUAGAGGGUUUCCGCCCUUUAGUGCUGCAGCUAACGCAUUAAGCACUCCGCCUGGGGAGUACGGCCGCAAGGCUG
rnacentral:rRNA from 1 species